rnacentral:lncRNA from 1 species
UAAAACAACAUUCUGGCAAUAAGAUCAGAGUUUGCCCUACAUGCUUACAAUGUUGUAGGUACCUAUUCAUUCAUUCAUACAGAAUCAUUUAUUGAGUUUCUUCUAUUUUCCAGUUUCUCUCUAGGUAUUGAGAGAUCGAUGCUAUACAAAUCCUGCCCUCAGAGUUCUGAUCAUCUGUUCAAAAUAAUUUUGCUUCUAAGACUCUACGAUUGUGGAUGA